GUGUUGUCCAGAGCAACACAUGUGCUAAAACUGAAAUGAUACAUGGAGAAUUGACAUGGCCCCUGUGCAAAGAUGACAUGCGAAUCUGUGAAGUGAUCGAAUGUAAG